UGAUUCUAUGAUUCUAUGAUUCUAUGAUUCUAUGAUUCUAUGAUUCUAUGAUCUUAUGAACAGACCAGAUGUGAAAAUGCAGUAGAUUCAAGGCAUAACCAGUUAUCUUCAGGCUCCCGAUGAAAAAGACUGGCUCUAGUCACUUCAGAUCUUAUCAGUGUAGUUGAGCUUUGAACUACCUCAGUGUCUUGAGUUGCCAACUCAGUGUCUUGAAUGAGCAACUGAAUUGAACCCCAGUGCUGGGCGAGAAGGAUCUCAACCCUCUCCUAAGCUGGGUGAACUGAAACAGACAGUGAACAAAUAUGCCCAUGAAAAUGUUCAGAUGCUGUCCAUACAGCUGCCCAAAUGACACUUGGACUCCCACAAUGCUCUCAUGGUACCCUCACCUAUGCCAUGCCUCACUUUGUGAUUUCCAGAGGUGUUCUUUUCCCAUCAGUAAGGGAAACAAUGGCUCAUAAAGGCAUAAUGGCUGGUUUGUGGCCCUGCCAGAGGUGAUUAUUUCUCUCAGUGCAUUUUCACCUAGUCUGAAAGUCAUGUUCAGAGGCUGCACUUACUUUGCUUUACAUUUAACGAACCUCUGUGAAAGGAAGUUGAGUGUAACUAUGGAGGGAACUCAGGCCAUGCUCAUUACCCUAUAUGCUUUUUCUUUCCCUUCUUUCACAUUUUGCAGAAAUUUAGUUGGCAGCCCAGACCUAGGAAAAAGAUGAAACCAUAUCAAGGAUUGUACUUGCAAAAUGAACAUGCAGCAGUUUGUACCUGGAUUUUUUUCCCUUUCUCAGUGCCCAAAUGAAGUAUCAGAUUGCAUCUGAUCCGCAAUUUACCCUUCCAUGCCCCAAAAUAACAAGGGCCACAUCCAGAGCAUGUAAUCUGAGCAGACCUCCAGGAGUCUUUCGUUUAGAUCUACAAAAGAUUUUAAUAAUUGAACAUGAGACUGCAGUGCCACUGUCUAAACAGCAUAUAUUGUGGAGAGCGUGGUCUCCUCUUUUCUCUUGUGUAGGAAUACAUGUUCCCUCCAUAGCUUUGCUUGUCUCUGUAAACAGUGCUCUGAGAAAUCACCCUUCUAACACCAAUAAAAUCUGUUAUUUAAUAUAUAUAUUUUUAAAGCAGAGCUAUUUCUGGGAGCUCUGUCCUGUGUAUAAUUCCAUGCUCAUUUCAAAUACCAUUGCUACAUUUCUUCCAUCAUCUUACUCUUCUAUUCUGGUUAAAAUUAAGAUUAAAAAUAAAACAACAACAACAUUCUGUACUGCCCAAAGUGUCUCAGACAAAUUGGCACAGCAUAACAGUCUUAAGCCUCAGUGGUCCAACCUUCAGAGCCCUUAAGACUUAUAACUUUCCAUUAGUCAACAGGACAACUCAUAUAGGUCCUAGUUCAAGUGGCCAGAGAAGUACACUCUGUGUACUAACAGCCUGAUUUGCAAAUGGCAGAUGAUCUGGUUCUUUGGAAUUUUCCGUGGUUUGAUCUUUGACGGACAAUAUUGGGUUCUUGAGGGAGCUACUGGCUCCCACCCUUGCAAUGCCAUGGGAUGGGUGCCCCACAGCAAAGCAGCAAUGCCCACAUCUGCUGGUCGGGUGUUCAGAUUGUUCCCAACCCUGACGAGAGCUAGCAUAAGCUGUCCACUAUGGGAACACCACUUCUUGCAAAGCUGGCUAUUUAUGCACUUGCAUCUUGGCUACUUAAAGUGAGUUUGACAAGUGAAAUGCAUUUACUAUAUAGCUGUGUAAUAAACGCUAAACUUUGUAAUUAGGGGUAUUUGCUUAUUCCAGAACAGAAAGAAGAGAAAAAUAGCUAUUGCUUUUAAUUUCCAGCAUCACUGACUCAAGCCCUACCAGUCCUGCCCUCAUUAAGAGAGUCCUUGCUGUCCCUUGGCAAGCAUGCUCUAAGGGUGAAGUGAACUCAAAGAUUUGUGGCUGGAAUGAGCUGGGAUGUUUGGAAAGAAAAUAACACAGUUGUUUUAUGUAAAGUAGUAGAGCUAAUGUAAGAAAAGUUGGGACGUUAUUGGGCCUAAGUCAGUCUGUUGAUAUUAAGUAGACUCCCAGACAAUGUAAAUCUCAACUUCUUGAGGAACAAAAAUGAAAACAAUUUGAACUUUAAUGAUUCAAUCAAGCGAGUUAAUCUUUGGGAGUUAAUUCUACUCCUGCUGAAACUGGUGGAAGUUCUGCCUUUGGGUACUUUGACUUUUAUCCAGGACCAGAUAUCCAGAUAAUAUGGACCUACAGUCCAUGUAUCAUGUACUGUGACAUAUAUGAGCUGUUAUGGAACUUUGUGUGUAUUUACAUGAUUUUUAGUAGCUUUUCUUUGGCUUCUGACAAAUUUUGAGUAAAUAAAUUUCACAAAACCAUUUCUGAAAAAACAGUCAAGACCUGAAUGAUAGAAUAUCCCAAGUAGGAAGGGAUCCAAAAGAAUCUAUUCCAACUCCUGGCUCCACACAGGACUACCUGAAAGUUAAACCAUAUGACUGAAAGCAUUGUCCAAAUGCUUCUUGAACUUCAGCAGGCUUGGGGCUGUGACCACUGAACUGGGGAGCCAGUUCCACUGCCUGAACUGGAACCAAAAAAAUCUGAAUCCCUUUAGUAUCAGGUGGCUUGUGGCCGAGUGUGCCUUCUCUCAUAAAUGAGGUCUGUCAAAAGAGAGACCUUGUCUACAUCCAGAUAAGCGUUCCAGAAAUCUGCCUUGGGAAGGGAUCUUUCAAAUCUAUCUCUGAAUACAAUUUAAAAUGGUUUGUCAAGCUCUUGUAUAAAUAGGCCAAUCUAUUAACAUGCUAUGUUUCAGGUGCAAGCAAUGAGCUCAUACUGAUAAAUUUACUUUUAAGCCUGAUACUGAAUUAUGCAAAGUUUCCUCUGAAGAUUCAAAAUAUCCUAAAAGUGGAUGCAAAUAUACUUUUUGUUCAUGUCUGCUCUUGCAUGGAGCAAAUAAAGGUAUGAGCAGAGAAGCUCAAGAAGUUCAGAUGGUAGUGUCAAAGACACUGGAAUGGGCUGCCCAGGGAGAUGGUUGAGUCACCAUCCCAGAAGUGUUCAAGAAACAUUUAGAUGUUGCACUGAGGGGCAUGGUUUAGUGGGGAAAUAUUGGUGAUAGAUGGAUGAUUGGACUGGAUGAUCUGGAGGUCUUUUCCAACCUUGGUGAUUCUGUGAUUCUAUGAUUUUAUAAGCUGUCUAUUCCAGUUGACCAUUCUCCAGGCUGGAGGCCACAUAACCCAGAGAAAACUUGGCAGAACCCAUUUUCACUGGCUUUUGAGCUGAGCUACAAGAGCUGAGUGGGAACAGAGGAUUGUGGCAGAUGUCAGCCCUCUCUGAAAUAGCAUCUGCUGUCUCUGGAUGAGCAGUACACCUGUGAAGGAGGUCCAGUUGUUUUCCUCUGUGUUGGUCUCAGUUCUAUAGUAAUUGCAUCCUCCUCUCCUGACCAGCUGCAUAUUUCUCCUGCCAUGUUUACACUGCACAAAAACUGGAGUGGCUGCCUGGGAAAUGACUCAAAGAAGUGAUGUGCAAGGAUCUUUGACAAAUGGAACAUUUCUUAAUCCCAUGUUGGGCUUUCACCCUGGUGAGUGAAACAGAAUUGGUCCUUGCUGCAACAACAUGGGUGCACAGUGGCUGAAGAUCACAGAACUACUCUGAGUUGUUGGUAAGGAUGUAGUCCCUUGAUUUACUCUCCUUAGCUCAGAAAAAUAUUUAUUUUCUGGUGUGCACUUGACUUCUAAUAUCACCAGCUGCCCUGUUGUACCAGCCUAUGAUGGGGCUGUGUAGUGUAAGCCUGAUUGGUGCCCUCUAAAUAGAAAGUGCUAAGCCCCCUUCACCUACUUACAUAGCUGGUGGUACCCAUCAAGUCUACCUUCAGCCUCAGGCCCAUUAAAAAGAUGUAUUAACACAGAAGGAAGCAGUAAAAUGUUUAAGGAACAGCUAGUUUAUUGAUAUAUUUUAUAGCUUGUCAAUCCACACUCUAUAAAGCCUUUCUGUGUGUUUGAGCAAUGAGGCCAAGGUCUUUCCUCAACGAGUUUCCUAGAAGUUGGCACACAUUUCAUUCCUGGAAGUGACUACAGGCCUGUUAUUGAUUUGUUCUUAUUGAUGGCUUUGGGAAAUUUUGGCAAAUAACAAGUGAGUGUAAAAAGGAGGGAAAUAAGUAGGUCUCAGCAGCACAUUGUUUUGCUUUCAUGCACCCAGUCACUGUGAGGGUCACAGAUUAAUGGGAAAAUUAUGUUGUUAAUUAUCUUUGGCUGCCAGCACAGCUCUAAGGCAAAACCAUAUCAAGUAUUGAUGAACAAAUGUGAGUUGUGCUUCUACUCUGUGCUGCUCUCAGAACUGGCCUGUGGUUCUGGGGUCUUCCAAGGUCACUGCUGACCACUUUGUGUGGGUCCUGAUGACAAACUUGCCCCCCCAGACUGUAUUUGCCACGACUUGGGUUUUGUGUCUACUCUCUUCUAAUUAGGGCUCCUCUGACACCACACUAUUUGGAAAGAGUUUAUUUGAAGAGACAUUCAGCUCAGUUUUGUUCUUAGUUUCAGUUCCUUACUCAGUCAGAAGAACUCCUAAAUCUCCUUCCAAGAUAUUCUUGAUCUUAAAAGUGCUAUAACCACACCUACAAUCCUUGCCUAUGACAGUUUAAUAAGUGCAUGUGUCAAGUGAACCAGCAAGUCCCUCCUUGGCCACUCCUGGAGGCAUGACCAUGUGAAGAGAUGAAUCUUCUGCCCAAGAGGUGAGCAGCUAUGGGGGAUUUGGAUGGUAGAAUCAUAGGUAGGUAGAAUAAUAUCAAUGCUCUACCUAAAUGCAUCUUCCCUCCUGAAGGGCAGAGACCAUAGGAAAUAUGUCCUUUGUUAUGCAAUUUCUUUUGUGUUUCCAAAGAGUCAGCCAGCUGGCACUCAACAAGUUACAGAAUCAAUGGGAAUUAUGAAGAAUUUUCUACUUGCCCUAGGCAGGAGGACAUGCACAUGGCAGAGCAAAGCUGGAGAUUCUCAGAGGAAGGAAGAUCCCUGGAAAUCUUCACCAUGAAACCAGAUUAUCUCUGUAAUGAAUUGCCAACUCUCAAAACCCAUUCAGGCUGGUUGGAAGCCCAGGGCAUGGAUCAGCCGUGAAGUACUGAGAGAACUGACUGUGGAUGAGAUUGGGAUGGACCUUGUCAUGAACACCCAAUUGCUCUCUGCCUAGAAGAGGACCUUAAAGAAGAGCAGAACAGCAUUUCAAUUAAAUAACAAUCUGUUUUUCCAAGGACUAAACACAUAAGAAGCUUCAACAAAAAAGGUGUUUUUGCCAGUAAUUGCUCAAGUGGCCUUAAGAUGAACUCGUUCCUUUUAGCUUUCUGACCACUUUGGACUAAAUAGCAGGUGUUUCUGCCAUAUAACAAGAGGAAAUCAAUAUUUUGCCAUAAACUCAUGCCCAAAAGGACUUCACAUCUCUGAGCUUCAUGACUGUACUCCUUAGGAAAGAACUAUGGACAACUCUGAAGGCAAUAUGAGAUGUCAGCUUUGGUCUACUCCUAACCAUCAAGCCUUUUCCAAAGAGGGAUGUUUCUUCUUGAUGGGUUGAUGGUUGGACUAGAUGAUCUCAGUGUCUUUCCAAUCCUAAUGAUUCUUUGAUUCUGCAUGUGAGCUAUUGAGGAAAGCAUGGAAUGACAACCUUUCAUAGGAAUUUGGAGCACAAAGGUUUGAUGCAGGAACACCGUUGGACAAGAUACAACUGUUGACAGGAGUUCUGACCAAGACCAUGAUGAACAGCAGAUCUAUGCGUUGGGGGUGAUCCGAGUAACUGUUCACACAUGUCAGAAUAUUUUAUUUCCAAAACUCUGAAAAAUUUAUUCAAGACAAAGACUGGCUUUGUCUGCCAUCUGAGGCUGUUUAGGCUGAACUGGAGAGAUUGAGAAACAGUAUCUUAAGAAGGAAGGAAGUUAUGUGGAACACAGAUGGGAAAAUUGUGUUUUAACCACUGAAAUUUUUAAGUCUAUACCAGUUACUUCUGUUUGUUUUAGCCUAUCUUUAUCCAAUGAAUAAACAACACUUGGAGGAAGGAAGUCUUCAGUAAGGAUUCAAACUCUUUUCAUUGCUCUGAAGAAUUUAGAGACUGCAAUAAAAACGCUUUUGACUCCAGAAGAUGUUUUUCAUCAAAGCUAAGGAAGGCCAAUUCUAACUCUCUGAAUCAAAUAAAGACAAACAUAAUAAAAUCACCAAACACAAAGCUUUCAUGCCAUGUUUCUGCAUCAGAAAUAUGUUUUCUGGGUACAAAAUGAAAACUCAGAUCCUUUCCCAAAAAGAAGGAAAAUCUUCCAUGUCUCUGUUGAGGUGAAUAUUAGUACAUUUGUCUAGAACUGACUGAAAUGCUUUCUGAUGACUAUUUUUUUUUCCAUCAAUAGAUGCUGAUUUAUUGAAAACUGAGCCUUUCCACUGGAAUAUAACAAUUUCAAUGAAACUUUAGUUGAGAAAAGUUUCUGAGGUCCCACAGUGAAUUUGUGGUCAAAAUUGGAGAGGAAGGGAGUUUGUAUGCAACUGUAUUUGAGUAUGAAGAAUAUGGAAAUCCCAUAGGAGAGGGAAGUACAAAUCUCUGCUUCAGUAAACACUGGCUUUUGCAAAAUGCAGCAAUUCAACACAGAUAUGACCCAGCAAUGCAUCCUUGUACUAACCACAUACUGGACUCUAUUAGCAAGGAUGUAGCCAGCAGGUCAAGGCAACUGAUUAUUCACCUCUAUUCUGAGCUUGAGAGGCUGAUGCUGGAGUACUGUAUCAAGUUUUGGGAUCUUCCAGAACAGAUGGCACCAGUAAACUGGUGCAGAGGCCAACAAGAUGUUUGUGAGGCUGGAGCCUGCAUGUGGAGCUGCUGAGGGAGCUGGGAUGGCUUCAAAGAUGUGAUGAAAGGAGGAUUUAACCACUCACUUCCCCUGCCUAAAAAGGACUUAGAAAAAGAUGGAGCCAAACUCUUCUCAAAGGUGCAAGAGGCAACAUGCCCAAAUAUCAUCAAUAGAUUUUCCAACUAGAAAUGCUGGAAACAUUUCCUCUGAGAGUGGCUGAGCUCUGAGAUAGAUUUCCAGACAGCCUGCAGAAUCUCCAGGCUUAGGAUCUUCAACGUUUGACCAGACAAGGCUCUGAGUAACCUGCACAGCACAGCCUUUGAGCAGGAUCAUUUGGAACGGCAGAGGGAGUGCAAGAGCAAGGAAAAAGAAGUGAACACACUGAACUUGAGAUUAGUCCCCCAGGUGAACACAAAUCUGCACGGAACAAAAGCCAAGCUGCUGCCCUUCAUGCAUGGAGAUGGAUUCAACAGUAUGGUCAGUGGGCAAACACUCCUUAUGCUGCUUGUGUUCAGCUGGCAUCAGGUAACCAGAAGGCUUCGGUGAGCUGAAAAUUAUCUGGGUUAGCCCCCUGUACUGGUGUCCUGGAGAAAGUCCUGAAGAUGCUGCUUCAUGCUGCAUUUGAAAAACAGUGCACAGAUCAAAUAGCAGCCACAGGUGACAUGUCAGAACAUCUCCUUCUCUUUCACUUUCAACCCUUGGGCUGGAAACACAGCUACUUCCAGCUCUGAGGCAGGAGGGCAGGAAAUCCUGGCUAUCCUUUCAUCUCCUGCUAGAGAUCCCGUGGCUGGAGGAUGCCACAGGAGGGGCCUUAAUCCCAGAUUCUGGCACACCACAAGUUGUCUCUGUCCUGUAUUUUUGUCCCACUCAAUGAGCACGCUCUGACUCAGGCUAUGUCCUACUGACAGGUGUCGUGCAAACCAUGUUGUUCCCCUCCCCACCUCAGUCAGACCAGUGAGUUUCUUCUGUAGGAUCUGCAGGGUCUUGGGCUGUACUGUUUUGAAGCAGACUGUGAUCCUCACUGUUUUACUUCCCAGACAUCUCAGCCUUCCUGACCCUGAGAGUACUGACCACCUAAUUUCCAGGAGUGGGGUGGGAAACUUUGUUCAAACAAUAGGACCCAGAGCAGGGGGUGAAGGGCAGCAGCAGUGAAUGACCAUCAUACUAUCAUUGCAUCAUAGAAUCAUUAAGGUUGGAAAACACCACUAAGACCAUGUAGUCCAACUGCUGACCCACCCCCACCAUGCCCACUAAACCAUCUACAUGUUUCUUAAACACCUCCAGGAAUGGUGACUCCAUCAUCUCCCUGGGCAGCCUGUUUCAAUACCUCACCACACUUUUUGAGAAGAAAUGCUUCCUAAUAUCCAACCUGAACGUACCCUGGCACAACUUGAGGCCAUUACCUCUCAUUCUGUCACUAGUUACCUGGGAGAAGAGGCCAACCUCCACCAUCUGUUGUAGAGGGAAGACUCAGCAUCCUCUCUCUAGUAAGCUCUAGAUCCACAUACAUUAUCUAAAUAAGCAGUGUCUAGGAGCAGACUUUAGCUCUGGAAUUUGACUAUCCACCCUGGUAAAUUCUUAGGGCGUGUCCUGAAUAGUUCUGGACUGGGGCACACAGCACAGUCUCCUGGCAUAGACUGGGAUUUAGCAAGAGCUGUAGCUCAGAUGUUCCCUCCUUAUUUCGGAAAAAAGUGAGUUCUGUGGUGUGAACAAGGAUGGUAAAGCAUCCUUUCCUGGGAUAGGGAAGGAUAUGUUAGAACCCCUUUUUCUUGGGUAGAAAAUAGGAAAAAUCUUGCAGAAGAAAGCCAGUGCCUGCUGGAGGACUAGAUUAGGCACAAGAAGAUCCAUGCACAGCUGACGGCUUUCUCCAAAUCUGAAUACUGUGUGUUUCGAAUAGCAGAUGAGAAGGACUGACAUCCCUGGGGAAUGGCGUACAGCCUUAGCAUCACCUCCAUCCAGGAGUGGACAAAUCAUCUCUUCUUUCCAGUGAAGAGCGGCCACAUGUGAAUUGCUGGAAGUAAACCAGAGGAAGAACAAUUCUCAGUGAGCUCCUCAGCAUCCUCCUCCAACCAUCAUUCCAUCACUGCACUGUUGGUCUGAGAGGACAUCAGCUCGUCUCCUACAAAGGAUCUGGACAACAGUUCUUUGGCUACAUCUUUCCUAAUAAAUUAAACAGUGCUAGGAGUUGCCUGGGUGGAGAAUGGGUUGUUCAGGUGUUAAAAGUUGCAGAAUUGCAGAAUCAUAAGGGUUGCAAAGGAACUCUGGAGAUCAUCUAGUCCAAGCCCUCUUGACUCAGCAACUCCAUACCCUUCCAAGCACAUUUCCAAAAAGUGCACAGGCUUGACAGAGUUCCCAAUGGCCAAAGGGAGAUAUUAACAGUAUGGACAUAAGUUAUUUUGCAUUAGUAGGUCCAAUGACAGAGUCCAGCUAUUCCAGACAUGCUUGAUUUACUCAGCACACAUACCUUGGAGACACAGCUUGGCCUUCAGCAGCGACUGUGUGAUCCACAGACUGGGCACCUAGUUCUCUGUUGAGUAUGUCCUGGUAUCUUUAUGUAUUUCCAGGUGGGCAAGUGGACACCCAAUGGGAUGUAGCCCACCAAGCUCAUGUUUCAGAUCUUGAACUCUUUGAAAGAAAUCACCAUUCCUCAUUUCUCAUCUGAAACACCAGCUAGCCUACAGGCUGAGGCAGGCCUAAGUUUUGCUUAAUUAAAGGCAUCAGCAUAGCUUACUUGCAACUGCUCUACCACCCUCACUUGAGGAUGAAGUUGUCUUGUGGAAAAGUGACCGUGCCAGCCACCUGCUGAGGUAAUCUGCAUAUUCACUCACAAAAGGGACUUCUGAGUUUCUCAGCAAUCUUUCUUCCACUGUUAGAUAUGAGAAAAUCAACCGGUUGCCUUGCAGCAAGAUAGGUACCCCCAAAAUUCAAAUAAAAAAAGAUACGAACCCUCCAAGCUCUGAGUCCAGAUUGAAAGUCUUUCAUACAGAUCACAUAGAAAUCAAUAUUGCCACACACAGACACAAAAAAGGUAAAAACGUGUAAAAUCACCUUGUCAGUUACUAUUUCACCACUUAAGAGAGAACAAGGUGAUGAAGAACAUUGUGCUAACUAGCAAUAUGACUUAAUGACACUUAUUUUGGCAAUGACAUGGACAUGCUAUCUUUGUAAUCCAAAAAAUCCAAGGUCCUCAAAUUCAUAAAACUGCAUGAGUUUACAGUUUAGUGCCACCUAGGCGAAGGAGAUUUAAGCACUGUCAAGUGAGACCCUUGGCCUAUAAGUG